rnacentral:rRNA from 1 species
CCCUUCGGGGUACUCGAGCGGCGAACGGGUGAGUAACACGUGAGCAACCUGCCCUAGGCUUUGGGAUAACCCCGGGAAACCGGGGCUAAUACCGAAUAGGACCACCGGCCGCAUGGCUGGUGGUGGAAAGUUUUUCGGCCUGGGAUGGGCUCGCGGCCUAUCAGCUUGUUGGUGGGGUGAUGGCCUACCAAGGCGACGACGGGUAGCCGGCCUGAGAGGGCGACCGGCCACACUGGGACUGAGACACGGCCCAGACUCCUACGGGAGGCAGCAGUGGGGAAUAUUGCACAAUGGGCGGAAGCCUGAUGCAGCGACGCCGCGUGAGGGAUGACGGCCUUCGGGUUGUAAACCUCUUUCAGCAGGGACGAAGCGUAAGUGACGGUACCUGCAGAAGAAGCGCCGGCCAACUACGUGCCAGCAGCCGCGGUAAGACGUAGGGCGCGAGCGUUGUCCGGAUUUAUUGGGCGUAAAGAGCUCGUAGGCGGCUUGUCGCGUCGACUGUGAAAACCCGCAGCUCAACUGCGGGCCUGCAGUCGAUACGGGCAGGCUAGAGUUCGGUA